GAAUGGUGCUGAGAAAUCGGAAGUCAUAAUGUGUUAACCCUUUAAAACGGCUAGACGUGUUGCUGCUCUACGUUAAGUCAAGCGAUGAAUUUGAAUCAUCACUCAGUCUGACUGUCCGAGUCUUCCGAGGCGUCUGCUGUUGCACGGCCCUCGAAUUCCCAUAACGGUUUUACGGAACGGCGCUUAUUAAGGUCAUUCCCAUCAUUUGUGAAAUUGGAAGUGCUUCUGCCAGCCGAAUACGCCGUAGCACUAGCAAACAAGAACAAGAUUGCACGGUGGCAAUUACAAGUUGCGUGCAGUGCAGUUUGAUUUAAUGAAAUGGAAAAAAUUUCUAUUCCCAACUUUUAACAUAGCCGUACGUAAUCUCGUUGCGCCCAUAAAAUGCAAGAAGUAAGUGUAACUGAUUUAUUUUAUUUAAAAAAAAAAUUUUUUUGGCUUUGUACUCUUAAUAAAAGGCUCGUGGAUUUGAUUGCGAGUUGUGACACUAUUCGAAUCGGUGAACAAUUCAAUUCAAUUCUCUGUUUUAGUAUUUGUUUCUAUCAUAAACAUACCGUAAGUAUACAAUCAAGCAUAUUAUAUCUUUCGUGUUCGUGUACCUGCACUGCAAAAAAGGCGUGAUCAAAGCAUCCCCCUAUGGUACCGUAAAUCUUUUAUUAUCAUUAUUAGGCUCUUUAAAAAAAAAUUUCUGUAAGAAAAAAAACUGGUGCUGGUGUCAAAUUCUUUUAAUCAAAUUUUUAACACAAGUUCCUUUUUCACUUGUAGACUGACGUGUGCUUCACCUUUAAUUGUAGAGCAAAUUUAUACGUACAUAAUUUCGUAAAAGGCUUCAAACUAACACAAACUCGAAAUUUCUAGACUAUAAAGUUUCAAACAAUUCGCACUUUUAUGCUAUGACCUCGUGGCAUGUUGUCGCGUAACGCUUUAAUCUAUGCAACUUCCAACAUAGUAUGCGCGUCUAUACUGAACUUGGUGCUCGUAAAUAUCCUUAUGUGCGCAUAAUGCAAGGCCAGCGUAAUAGGCUUGCUGUUUGCUCGGGCUAGGCAGCAAGGAGAAAUCUAACCUUGCCGCCAGUUACGCGAGGGAAAAAUUGUGAACUAUUUAACUAGCGCUUUUUUUUUUAAACUGACCUACAAAAAGGACAUUUCACAGGAGAAACGAGAAAAACCGCAAAAAGGGUGAGUUGGUCUGUUUAAUUUAUGGUCAUUGGAACAAGUAGACAGUAGACAGAAGAAAUCGAAAACUUCAAAGAGUAAAACGGCACGCAAUUGCCGCCCACUUUCUACAAUACUUUCGCAGUUGUUAGAUAGAGAAUUGGAUUUUUUUUCUUUGUCUUUUCAUUCACUAGCAGCAAAGCCGGUAUCCAACAUUAUAUCAUAGACUUCCAUCAAAAUUAAAUUGAAUCAAACAUAUUAUUUCCGAAAUUUGUGAGUAUGUAUUCCUUCUAAUUUGGCAAAUAAUUUAUAUUAACUGAAUGAUAUAAGAUAAUUCCACGCCUAUAUAUUUUCCUUUUUUCGAUUUAAGCAGUUGCGUCAGUAGCAGUCUCUGGCUCAGCAGCCGGAGCAGCGGCCUCUACGACGGCGGGCUCUGCGGCAACUUCGGCGACGGGCUCUGCGGCCACUUCGGCAACAGCCUCAACG